rnacentral:rRNA from 1 species
CAUUACCGAGUUUACAACUCCCAAAACCCCUGUGAACAUACCUACCGUUGCCUCGGCGGGAGGCCCCGGGGGGCGGCUCCGGCCGCCCUCCCGGACCCCACGGCUGCCCGCCGGAGGACCCUAAACCUCUGUUUUCUUGCAUUCUGGAUAAUAUCUGAGUACCUAGGCGAAAGCCGAAAAAUGAAUCAAAACUUUCAACAACGGAUCUCUUGGCUCUGGCAUCGAUGAAGAACGCAGCGAAAUGCGAUAAGUAAUGUGAAUUGCAGAAUUCAGUGAAUCAUCGAAUCUUUGAACGCACAUUGCGCCCGCCAGUAUUCUGGCGGGCAUGCCUGUUCGAGCGUCAUUUCAACCCUCGCGCCCCCUGUGGGCGCGGCGUUGGGGAUCGGACUGCCCCCCCCGGGGCGGCGCCGUCCCCGAAAUCCAGUGGCGGUCCCGUCGUCGUCUCCUCUGCGUAGUAGCACACCUCGCACCGGAGCGCGGCGCGGCCACGCCGUAAAACCCCCCAAUCUACAUCAGGUUGACCUCGAAUCAGGUAGGGAUACCCGCUGAACUUAAGC